rnacentral:lncRNA from 10 species
AAAAAAUGGCGGUUGCUGCUGACUCAUACGGAUGUGGACUCAGUGCAGGAAAAGAUAAUUGGAAAGAGGAAUAAAAGGUAUCAGCGCAUGGAGAUAUUUGCAGGCAAGGGGCUGAGAUGAGCAAUACUCUUGAAUAUAGCCUACUAAAGAAAAGCCAUAAAGAAGAACUUAGAAGAAGAAUAAAGUAUAACCUAAAAGUUUACUGAUCUGAGUAAGGAUCAAAGAGGUGAAAUGGCUCCCUGAACUACAAUCUCCCUGAUGAUUGAGACUGCCUUGGAAUUGUUCAUUCAUAUAUUCCCGGCAAUUAGGACAACAGCUAGCAGGGGGAGCCAAGGUAGGCGGAUCACAAGGUCGUAUUCUCCAAGAUAAGACACCAAUCACCAUCUAUGUAAUUUACAU